CAAUAGCGUAUAUUAAAGUUGUUGCGGUUAAAAAGCUCGUAGUUGGAUUUCUGCCGAGGACGACCGGUCCGCCCUCUGGGUGAGCAUCUGGAUCGGCCUGGGCAUCCUCUUGGGGAACGUAGCUGCACUUGACUGUGUGGUGCGGUAUCCAGGACUUUUACUUUGAGGAAAUUAGAGUGUUUCAAGCAGGCUCACGCCUUGAAUACAUUAGCAUGGAAUAAUAAGAUAGGACCUUGGUUCUAUUUUGUUGGUUUCUAGAGCUGAGGUAAUGAUUAAUAGGGAUAAUUGGGGGCAUUCGUAUUAACACGUCAGAGGUGAAAUUCUUGGAUUGUGUUACGACGAACUACUGCGAAAGCAUUUGCCAAGGAUGUUUUCAUUGAUCAAGAACGAAAGUGCGGGAUCGAAGAUGAUCAGAUACCAU
rnacentral:rRNA from 1 species